GGAUAAUGGUAUAGGGAAAGAAUUUCAAAGGGGGAAACUGAUACGAAGAAACAGUUUUUCUUAUACUUGCUUGGGGGAGGAGGUGUUGGGAGAGUCUCUGGAGCUCAUUCCUUUGGGCUCUGGCUUUUCAGAUAGUGUUAUCAAGGCCCCACUAGGGCCCUGCCUACUGCUAGCCUUGGAGUGAGUCAGCCAAGAAUUUCCUGGAAUGUUUGCUAAAAUGAAGACUCCCAGAGGCCUCCACAGAUCUACAGAAUAAGAAUCUCUCAUGAUGGGACUCAGAAAUCUCCAAUCAAUCAUCCACCCUCCUCCUCCCUACCCCAGGAUACUGAUGCAGACAGCCUGGCCACCCCUUUUGGAGAAACACGAUUGCAGAUGACUGAUUAAAUUGUAUGGCUUUACCUCUCUUAUAUAUGCAUUUUGGGAAGCAAUACAAUUUCUGCAGGUUAAAGCCAAAGGAAUGAUGAUCUAGCUGUGAAAUGUUAGACUUCGUUGAGUUGGGUGGUGGAGACACCUCCUCAACUAGCUCUUCAGCCUAGGCUGGGCUCGUUCCUCCAGUAAAUGAAAUCUAGAAGAAAUUUCCCAUCAUGUGCAGAAAUACGAACUACACACAGCAGAUUUUCAACUUCUACAAGAAGAUGGCAGAAGACAUGAACAAUGAAUUGGAAAGAAUCACUUCCUUUUACCAAAAGGAGAUUCUCUUCUAUGAGGAAGAGCUCAAGAAAGCUGGGCAGCAGUUCUGCUGACUGAGAUAAAGCUCCAUGAGCUAAAACAACAAAAUGAUGGCAACAGGCAAAUCAUGGCUGAUGUGGAGUUCAAGUUCCAGCCUUUCCCAAGCAGCCCCUUUGCUCCUGCUGCUCCAGGCGCAGCUCACAGAGGAGUGGAAGUACUAGGGGCCCCCUGGGUCAUCAGGUUCCCAGCAAGGAAGAGGCAGGUGCUGUGAGGCUCAGGGAUCCAGGGGUACCUGCAGGUUUCACUCAGAGUUUAUGAUUUGUUUGUUUUCGUCCUUAAAAGUAAUUUUCAUUUAUCUUCUAGUUAAGCUACUGUUAUUUAAUUGAUGUGCAAUUUCUCUUUCUGAAGUUUUAUAGUACUAUAAUUUCUAAAAUUGUAUUUUUAAAUAUACAUUUAUUUAAAAUAGCUCUUAUGAAUACAUUAUUUCAAAAUCAUUGGACCCUCUAAAAUUAUAUGCAUAAGUAUUAUAUUUUGAUUUAAAUAACAGGUCCACUAUGAUUUAAACUGUCAUCAAAAUUGGACAUGAAUAGAAACAUGGAAAACAAUAAAGU
rnacentral:lncRNA from 1 species